GGAAUGGUGGCUUAAUGGUAGAGUGCUUGCCUUGCAUGCAUGAGGACCUGGGUUCCAUUCCU
rnacentral:tRNA from 1 species